CCUACGGGAGGCAGCAGUGAGGAAUAUUGGUCAAUGGCCGGAAGGCUGAACCAGCCAAGCCGCGUGAAGGACGAAGGUGCCAAGCAUUGUAAACUUCUUUUGUCAAGGGACAAAAUCAGGCUCGAGAGCCUGACCGAGGGUACUUGAAGAAAAAGCAUCGGCUAACUCCGUGCCAGCAGCCGCGGUAAUACGGAGGGGGCGAGUGUUAAUCGGAAUUACUGGGCGUAAAGAGUACGUAGGUGGUUUUGUAAGCGCGGGGUGAAAGGCAGUGGCUUAACCAUUGUAAGCCUUGCGAACUGCAAGACUUGAGUGCAGGAGAGGAAAGCGGAAUUCCUAGUGUAGCGGUGAAAUGCUUAGAUAUUAGGAGGAACACCGGUGGCGAAGGCGGCCUGCUGGACUGCAACUGACGUUGAGGCCCGAAAGCGUGGGGAGCAAACAGGAUUAGAUACCCCAGUAGUC
rnacentral:rRNA from 1 species